GCAGCUAGCAAGGUGUUGUUCUGAGAGAGGCAGGGGAAGCCAUGAUGGAGGGAGCUUUGAAAAUGAGUGAGUGGAGCUCCGGAAAGACAGACGGUCUAGGGAGGUUGAGCAGCAAGCACAAAGACUCAGAGACACAAAGGAAUUGUAGUUCUCCCAACAUGGGUAUCCCAUGGCAACCAGGUUGGAGGCCAGGAUGGCUCAUGUUUUCUUCCCACUGGAGCCAAAGCAAAGAGUCCAAGGUCCUAGGCACAGAAAUGAAACCCCAAACUGCAUUGCGAGGACCUUUUUCUUCAGAUACCUGGAGGGCUCAAGGGAGUGACAUCCAAGGACUCGCUGUGAAGAGACGGAAGGCCACAGAAUAACUGGCUAUAAUAUUCGCUCUGAAGAUCGUCGUCCUCGUUGUCCCCUGAGUCAUUAGCUUCUGCCUCAGGGAGUGGAUAGAAAUUAUUUAAAUGUUCAGCUCCAUGAGAGGGCAAGCAAGUAUGGCUUUGGUGCCAGGGCCUUCCUUGUUUCAGGUUUAUAACAGGCCAUUCAGAAACCCAGAAGUUCUGGGUGGGUUGGCUGGCCAGAUACAAGCUGUUCGUCUUGUGAGAAACGAUCCCAACCGUGUCCCUGGUGACCAGAGAGCUCAGAAUGUAGGAAGACGAAUUUUCUCGAGAUCGACAAAGCAAUGUCAGGCUUGGCAGAAGCUGCCUCAGGGACUCCUCCACACGUCUGGGAAGACCCCACUUCUGGAAGUGUAUCCAUUUU
rnacentral:lncRNA from 1 species